rnacentral:pre_miRNA from 1 species
GGGGAUCUUGUUUGCCAAGUAUGUUUGAUCACAUCAUACUGGCCUGCAAAAUCCCAAA